rnacentral:rRNA from 1 species
AGGGUCGGUUCCCGGCGGCGGCACUUCAUGCACCCAGGCGGAGAAGAGACGCCAGGUUACCGCAAGCACUGGGAUAACUUCGGGAAACCGGAGCUAAUACCGGAUAAUAUAUUGAACCGCAUGGUUCAAUAGUGAAAGACGGUUUUGCUGUCACUUAUAGAUGGAUCCGCGCCGCAUUAGCUAGUUGGUAAGGUAACGGCUUACCAAGGCAACGAUGCGUAGCCGACCUGAGAGGGUGAUCGGCCACACUGGAACUGAGACACGGUCCAGACUCCUACGGGAGGCAGCAGUAGGGAAUCUUCCGCAAUGGGCGAAAGCCUGACGGAGCAACGCCGCGUGAGUGAUGAAGGUCUUCGGAUCGUAAAACUCUGUUAUUAGGGAAGAACAAAUGUGUAAGUAACUAUGCACGUCUUGACGGUACCUAAUCAGAAAGCCACGGCUAACUACGUGCCAGCAGCCGCGGUAAUACGUAGGUGGCAAGCGUUAUCCGGAAUUAUUGGGCGUAAAGCGCGCGUAGGCGGUUUUUUAAGUCUGAUGUGAAAGCCCACGGCUCAACCGUGGAGGGUCAUUGGAAACUGGAAAACUUGAGUGCAGAAGAGGAAAGUGGAAUUCCAUGUGUAGCGGUGAAAUGCGCAGAGAUAUGGAGGAACACCAGUGGCGAAGGCGACUUUCUGGUCUGUAACUGACGCUGAUGUGCGAAAGCGUGGGGAUCAAACAGGAUUAGAUACCCUGGUAGUCCACGCCGUAAACGAUGUCGACUUGGAG